GUUAGAUAGCUCAGUUGGUUAAGGCAUGGUGCUGAUAACGUCAAGGUUGCAGGUUUGACCCCCAUAAGGGACA